rnacentral:tRNA from 3 species
GGCGGCAUAGCCAAGUGGUAAGGCAGAGGUCUGCAAAACCUCCAUUCCCGUGUUCGAAUCACGGUGCCGCCU